rnacentral:rRNA from 1 species
GAUGAACGCUGGCGGCGUGCCUAACACAUGCAAGUCGAGCGAACGGACGAGACGCUUGCUUCUCUGAUGUUAGCGGCGGACGGGUGAGUCACACGUGGCUAACCUACCUAUAAGAAUGGGAUAACGUAGGGAACCCGGAUCUAAUAUCCGAUAAUAGUUUGAACCUCAUGGUUCUACAGUGAAAGACCGACUUGCUGACACUUAUAGAUGGAUCCGCGCUGCAUUAGCUAGUUGGUAAGGUAACGGCCUACCAAGGCAACGAUGCAUAGCUGAUCUGAGAGGGUGAUCAGCCACACUGGAACUGAGACACGGUCCAGACUCCUACGGGAGGCAGCAGUGGGGAAUCUUCCGCAAUGGGCGAAAGCCUGACGGAGCAACGCCGCGUGAGUGAUGAAGGUCUUAGGAUCGUAAAACUCUGUUAUUAGGGAAGAACAGAUGUGUAAGUAACUGUGCACGUCUUGACGGUACCUAAUCAGAAAGCCACGGCUAACUACGUG